CUGAUGGCCCAGGAAGAUGAAUCCAUCUAUGCAGCUGCAAAAUAGGGACAGCAUGUCAGUGGCAGAACAAGUUUCCUCACACUGCCCCAUCAACAUGCCUCAGCCCUGAUGUAAAGAGACCAACUCUGUGGGUGAGAGAGUCAUUCAGACUUCAUGCUCAUUCCAUCUUUGGCCUAA
rnacentral:sRNA from 1 species